CUGUUGUAACACAUUUCCUUUUUGCCUGGUUACCAGGAAGCUCACAAUCGAGUCUGUGGCCAUCCUUUAGCAAUUAGACAUUUUGGAUCCAAGGACCAAUAGGUUGACUCAUUCACUAGUGGAGAGUAUCAAAGAAAGAAAAAUUUAAAAACUAAACAACAGAUUUGACAAGCUGCCUGCCAUCUGAAAGUGAGAAAGAAUGUGAUAUUAAUUGAGCAUCUUCUGAGCAAGCUAUAUGCUGUACAUAUGCUUUUCUUCAAAACAUCCCUUCAAGAAAAUGGAAAGAGGGGGCGGAAGGAAUUCACCGUACUCUCCAGUACCCCAGUUGCUGGCUGGUUAAUGAAGCAUUCUUCUCAUCAAGCUGCCUCAGUUAUUUACCAAGAGAAUGACAACCCAUUCCCCACCCCCAGCUCGAACACCCACUGUGAUCAGCUCCCUCACUUCAUGACAAUGAGGCGAUAUGUGUGGGACUGGUUUUCGCAUAACUACAAAGCUUCAAAAAAAAAGUGAGAAUAAAUAUUUACUUCCAGUGUAUUUCAAGCAACACAGAAGGAAAAUCUUCAAUAUUAAACUGACUUAUUUCCAACGAUAUCUUGCAUUUUACUGUGGGUAAAAUGAAUACUUUGAAUAAGAUUUUCCAAUUUUAGACAAAAAGAGGGCAAUUUUUUGAUGAUAGGUUUCAUCUGCUGUGACAAAUGUUAGUGUGAUCCACUUGCUUGAGGGCUCGUAUAAUCAUUUCAUAGCGUGUGUGUGUGUGUGUGUGUGUGUGUGUGUGUGUAUGUGUGUGUAUACACCUCACAUAGGCAGGACAGAAGAAAUGAGUGUAGAAUCAAGCUCAUACUGGAUGUCUGAUGUGUACAAUGCAUGUGCAUAUGCAUUUGAGUUUGGAAAAAAUUCCCAAGCUAUACAUGGAAUUUUUUUUUUAAGUUAGUCACUUUUUGGUCCCACAGCUUUUAUUUUGGAGCUUUUCUGGUAAAAAGGACAUCUCUAUCCAAUAUCACCUGGACGAGAGUGCUGUUCAAACACAGGUGCUAUUACUUCAGCCCAUUUCUAGCUCAUGAUCUAAGAAAUAUGCUCUGCUGAGUAGAGUUCCAUAAAAGCAGGGCCUGUGACUCAGUCAUCUCUGUCCCUCAUGAUACUCAGGACAGCAAACAAAUGCUUUCCAAACAAUUUCAGAGUGAAUUCUAGGAGGGCUAUUUCAAGGUCAACUCUAUAAUUUAUCUCCUUGUUGGCUUUCUUCCCUCAUCUCACAACUUCCAAAAAUCCGGCCAAGGGGCAUUCAUAUUCACAUGCUGGAAAUGAUUUAAUUCUAUCUUCUAUAUGGAUAUCACUAACUUGGCAUGAAAA
rnacentral:lncRNA from 1 species